GCCAGCUCUCGCCCGUCUCCUCGGUGGCCCGGGCCUCGCUCUACGACAUGCAGCGCUUCGGGCGGGACCCGUACGCGGACCGGGCGCGCUAUUCCGCCUUCUGAGCCGGAGGUAAGAUUUGUGCGGCUGGACGUCGGGGUCCCGUCGCACGCCGAUCGGCGCCGCGCGUCUCGGGCCGCGCCGGGUCCCAGCGUCGCCGCGUUGCCGCUCCCCGGCCGGUUCCCCACGGACGCGUCGCUCGGCCCCGGCCCGGGCAGGAAUUAGCUCAGCCCUUCCCCCCCCUUCCCCAGCUUCCCCCGCCCCCUCCUCCGGGCAGGAUUUUGCUUUUCCAGGUGGUUUUGGGUCCUCGCCCCCCUUCCCGGGGCUCAGGUGCCGCCGUCCCCCCCCCCAAACAGCGCCAGCUUUGCUUUGCUUCGCCGCCCCCUCCCCGUCGCUCCCCCCGGAGCUGCCCCGAGUCGUCGUUUGCCUUUUUUUCUUUUCCUUUAUUUUGGAGAGGCUGGAGAAGCCCGUGGUAGGUUUGUAGGCCAAGGCCGUAGCUGACCGGAGCCCGCCGCGCCGGCGGGGGUGGAUCCCCCCCAUCCUUAGCGUCCCCCCGACCCCCUUUUCCGGUAAAAUAAACCCAGAAUUUUUAACAAAUGG